rfam:Trichinella sp. T8 scaffold76s, whole genome shotgun sequence.
CCAACGGUCCUUAUCAGGACCACUAUCUAUUGAUAUUUUAUUCUCU